rnacentral:tRNA from 1 species
GCCAUGGCUCAGUGGCAGAGCAUCUGAUUUGCAUGCAGAAGGUCUCAGGUUCAAUCCCAGGUGUGUGUG